rnacentral:rRNA from 1 species
GAUGAACGCUGACAGAAUGCUUAACACAUGCAAGUCGAUGGGGAAGUGGUGCUUGCCCCAUGGCAACCAUGGCGGACGGGUGAGUAACGCGUAAGGGACUUACCUGCAGGACUGGGAUAACAGGGGGAAACUCCUGACAAGACCGGAUAAUGUCAUGGAGCUGCAUGGCUUUAUGAUGAAAGGAGACGCCUGCGGAGAGCCUUGGGUCCUAUUAGCUAGUUGGUGAGGUAAUGGUCCACCAAGGCGAAGAUAGGUAGCCGGACUGAGAGGGUGGACGGCCACAAGGGGACUGAGAUACGGCCCUUACUCCUACGGGAGGCAGCAGUGGGGAAUAUUGGACAAUGGGGGCAACCCUGAUCCAGCAAUUCUGUGUGCACGAAGAAGGUUUUCGGAUUGUAAAGUGCUUUCAGCAGGGAAGAAGUAAGUGACGGUACCUGCAGAAGAAGCAACGGCUAAAUACGUG